AGAAAAGUAGAGCAUACACCCACACACGCACACAUGCACCUAAACUAUUACAAAAAAAACCUAUUUACAUUCUAAGGUCUGCAAAAAAAAAUAAAUGACAAGAAAAAGUAAAUAAAUUAUUUACAUCAAGGCCUAAUUUACAUUCUAACAUGCAUGAGAGAACAUAAAUUAAUAAUUACAAUGCUAAACGAUAAAUAAAAUGUAUGCAAGACUUGAAAGAAAUAAAUAAAAGGUUCAAUCACAAGGUGGGAGGUGUAGCAGUAUUAUGGGGUGUGCAGAAAGUAAAAAAACAGGUUUGGGCCUAGAUAGAAACGGAGCGGGUCAUGGGUUAAGCCUGGCGGGUCGACCCGGAUUUGAGAGGUAUAUAAAGGGUGUAAACCCUAAUUUCCUCAUUUUUCUUUUCCUUUUCUCUCUCUUCUUCCCUAAAUCUCUCAAACUCUCUCUACUCUUUCUUCCUUCUCCGACGGAA
rnacentral:lncRNA from 1 species